rfam:Lactobacillus mellis strain Hon2 genomic scaffold Hon2_scaffold1, whole genome shotgun sequence.
CGCAAGGCCGGAGGCAAUGGUAGGCUUAUGAAUCGUGUCAGGUUCGGAAGAAAGCAGCACUAAGUAAGAUUCUGUCAUGUGCCUUUUGUUAUGACUAUCAAUA